AUGGGCCCGUUUCACAUUCGGUCCGGUCCUGGUUUUGACCGAGCCGGCUCGGCGGACCGUGAAUUCCAGCCCAGCCCAACACAUCAGUCUACUCUAGCUAGGGCACAGCCGCAAAGGAAAGGACAAAGCAGGGCGUCAUCCAUUCCCCGUCUCCCCUAUCCCGCCGCCGCAGCUGAUUGCGUAGUCUGGAGGAGGGAGCGCGGCCUCCGUCAACCUCCUCCUUGUGCUCGCCAUCGACGCGGGGAGCUUCCAUCUCGUCGCCAACACGCCGUCGACACGGGGAAGGAAGAGCCAUGGAGGGAGCUCCGCAUCCCAUGAGACCACGAGGCUUCAAGAGCGCCUCCUCCACACCGGCCGCCAUUGGCAACUUCUUGACUUAGUCAACCACCUCCUUGCCGCCUACGAGCGUCGUCCGACCACCACAAGCAUGAGGCGCAUCUCCUCCGCAGCGUCGCCCGUCGACCGCAAGCAUCAGUGACUGGCCAACGCAGGGACCGCCGAGCCCGUCGGUCCGCACCGAGCUUUGCACCCGCCGGUCCGGUCCCUGAAAAGAGGACCGCGGCACUGCUCGGUCCGGUCCGGUCCGGACCGCCGCCGGCCGGUCCAAACAGCAGCUCGGUCAAGGACCGGACCGGCCCGGACCGUGUCCACCCUGAGACGGAGUGCAGCUAGUCAUAUAUAGUAUCUAGCAUUAUAGCUUGUUCUAUGUACGUACGUUGUGGUGGUGAGUAACAUGCAGCAGCAGCUAAUCACCCUUCCAACGCCUCUCUUCCCGUAGUAAUUGGACACGCCCUUGGUUUGAAACUUCAGAUUGAAAUUGUAUGUGGGGACUGGGUUGGAUGGGUUUGGCUUGAAAAUACGUACAGUUUGGAUUGGUUUGGAUUAUAGCAUUUGCAGUUUGGUC